rnacentral:rRNA from 1 species
UACGUAGGGUGCAAGCGUUGUCCGGAAUUAUUGGGCGUAAAGGGCUCGUAGGCGGUCCGUCACGUCGGGAGUGAAAUCCUGGGGCUUAACCCCAGAACUGCUUCCGAUACGGGCAGACUAGAGGUAGGUAGGGGAGAAUGGAAUUCCUGGUGUAGCGGUGGAAUGCGCAGAUAUCAGGAGGAACACCAGUGGCGAAGGCGGCUUGCUGGGCCGGACCUGACGCUGAGACGCGAAGGCGUGGGGAGCGAACGGG